rnacentral:rRNA from 1 species
UACAGAGGUCCCAAGCGUUGUUCGGAUUCACUGGGCGUAAAGGGUGCGCAGGUGGCAUGGCAAGUUUGAUGUGAAAUCUCCGGGCUCAACCCGGAAAUGGCAUUGAAUACUGUCGUGCUGGAGGUUUGGAGGGGGGACUGGAAUUCUCGGUGUAGCAGUGAAAUGCGUAGAUAUCGAGAGGAACACCAGUGGCGAAGGCGAGUCCCUGGACAACACCUGACACUGAGGCACGAAAGCCGGGGGAGCAAACAGG